GAGUAACACGUGGACAACCUGCCUCAAGGCUGGGGAUAACAUUUGGAAACAGAUGCUAAUACCGAAUGAAACUUAGUGUCGCAUGACACGAAGUUAAAAGGCGCUUUGGCGUCACCUAGAGAUGGAUCCGCGGUGCAUUAGUUAGUUGGUGGGGUAAAGGCCUACCAAGACAAUGAUGCAUAGCCGAGUUGAGAGACUGAUCGGCCACAUUGGGACUGAGACACGGGCCAAACUUCUACGGGAGGCUGCAGUAGGGAAUCUUCCACAAUGGGCGAAAGCCUGAUGGAGCAACGCCGCGUGUGUGAUGAAGGCUUUCGGGUCGUAAAGCACUGUUGUAUGGGAAGAACAGCUAGAAUAGGGAAUGAUUUUAGUUUGACGGUACCAUACCAGAAAGGGACGGCUAAAUACGUGCCAGCAGCCGCGGUAAUACGUAUGUCCCGAGCGUUAUCCGGAUUUAUUGGGCGUAAAGCGAGCGCAGACGGUUGAUUAAGUCUGAUGUGAAAGCCCGGAGCUCAACUCCGGAAUGGCAUUGGAAACUGGUUAACUUGAGUGCAGUAGAGGUAAGUGGAACUCCAUGUGUAGCGGUGGAAUGCGUAGAUA
rnacentral:rRNA from 1 species